CAGCAGCCACGGUAAUACGAAGGGUGCAAGCGUUAAUCGGAAUUACUGGGCGUAAAGCGCGCGUAGGUGGUUUGUUAAGUUGGAGGUGAAAUCCCCGGGCUCAACCUGGGAACUGCCUCCAAAACUGGCUGACUAGAGUACGGUAGAGGGUGGUGGAAUUUCCUGUGUAGCGGUGAAAUGCGUAGAUAUAGGAAGGAACACCAGUGGCGAAGGCGACCACCUGGACUGAUACUGACACUGAGGUGCGAAAGCGUGGGGAGCAAACAGGAUUAGAUACCCGCGUAGUCCCUGUCUCUUAUAC
rnacentral:rRNA from 1 species